GAUGAACGCUGGCGGCGUGCCUAAUACAUGCAAGUCGAGCGAACGGACGAGAAGCUUGCUUCUCUGAUGUUAGCGGCGGACGGGUGAGUAACACGUGGAUAACCUACCUAUAAGACUGGGAUAACUUCGGGAAACCGGAGCUAAUACCGGAUAAUAUUUUGAACCGCAUGGUUCAAAAGUGAAAGACGGUCUUGCUGUCACUUAUAGAUGGAUCCGCGCUGCAUUAGCUAGUUGGUAAGGUAACGGCUUACCAAGGCAACGAUGCAUAGCCGACCUGAGAGGGUGAUCGGCCACACUGGAACUGAGACACGGUCCCGACUCCUACGGGAGGCAGCAGUAGGCAAUCUUCCGCAAUGGGCGAAAGCCUGACGGAGCAACGCCGCGUGAGUGAUGAAGGUCUUCGGAUCGUAAAACUCUGUUAUUAGGGACGAACAUAUUUGUAAGUAACUGUGCACAUCUUGACGGUACCUACUCAGAAAGCCACGGCUAACUACGUG
rnacentral:rRNA from 1 species